GACAGAGGAUGCAAACGUUGCUCGGAAUUACUGGGCGUAAAGCGCGCGCAGGCGGUCUUGUAAGUCGGGUGUGGAAUCCCGGGGCUCAACCCUGGAAGUGCACUCGAUACUGCGAGACUUGAGUACUGGAGAGGAGAGCGGAAUUCCCGGUGUAGAGGUGAAAUUCGUAGAUAUCGGGAGGAACACCAGUGGCGAAGGCGGCUCUCUGGACAGAUACUGACGCUGAGGCGCGAAAGCGUGGGAAGCAAACAGG
rnacentral:rRNA from 1 species